ensembl:lncRNA
GUUAUGUAGUUUUCUCACCACCACAACACUGCUGCUGCUGCUGCUAAGUUGCUUCAGUCAUGUCCGACUCUAUGCAACCCCAUAGAUGGCAGCCCACCAGGCUCCUCUGUCCCUGGGAUUCUCCAUGCAAGAACACUGGAGUGGGUUGCCAUUUCCUUCUCCAAUGCAUGAAAGUGAAAGUGAAGUCUCUCAGUCAUGUCCGACUCUUAGCGACCCCAUGGAUUGCAGCCUACCAGGCUCCUCUGUCCAUGGGAUUUUCCAGGCAAAAGUACUGGAGUGGGGUGCCAUUGCCUUCUCCGACCACAAUACUAGAAGUAGCUAACUCAUUGAUGGAGUGCAAACGGGAAGCUUGCUGUAAAUCCCCAACCUGGAGCCCAUCUAUCAAGCCCAGAGACCAAAGGAGAUUCAACUCUGCCCUUCACAGCUUUGCCGCUUAGCUUUGUACCAUCUCAUAGUGUACAAAUUCAAAGUUUAGUACAUUUCCUCAGAGAGCGCCCAGCCGUCCUUGUGAGGUUCCUCUGGUCUUCAGUUGUAUCACCCACCCCCCUCCAAUUUCUCAUUGCUCUCCAGCAGCAGACUUAGGGACAAGUCUUGACUCGCAGGCUCUAGUAGCUUCCAGAAUUAAUAAGUGACCCUGGGUUAAAAGGACCUAUGGAGUGUCAGCAUAUUCCUCUCCCUAUAGCUUUCAUCUGUGGCUUUUUUGUUUUCCGUUCAUUUCCACUUGGCCAUUUUAGUUUCUUCAGGACCUCCAGACCAUAGGAUAUUUCAUUCUGUCUUUUAGAACAUGUCACCUGACUUAUUUAUCACUCCCACUGCCUCAGAUUCAGAAAAGCUUUCGGUAGCCGUGAGUUCGAGACUCCUAAAACCCCUGCUUUGAGCAGGGCAGCCCACAGGGCCACUGAGUUUCGUUGCUCCCUCCCUGGCAUGGAGCUCAGCCCAGGAUCAGAAAAUGACCCAGGAACACAUGGGGCAGCCAGUUAUCCACUCACCUCCAGACAGUUCUCCCCUUUCUGCAAUUUUAGUCCAUUGAUCCUUGUAGCUUCCUCAACUCUCUGAUGCCAUUAAAAGUAUAACUUUUGUUAUUUAUCCAGUUUUUUCUGCUCUUUGUCAGUAAGUGAGUUGGUGUACCAUGACCUACUCUAGCCCACUCAGAAGCAGAACUCAGCUUUACAAGUCUGCUUGUGCCCUGGGCUAAACCACUGCUCACUCUGCCCCGCUCCCCCCUCCCAGUGAAAACCCUCAAUAUGCCCUUCCUCUGCAGUCUGUGUCCUCCCUGGACUCUUCAGUUCUAUAAAGACUUCAGAAGAAGGGCAUGGAUGGACCUUAUCAUACUAAGUCUGUAUUAUGCUGCUCAGCUGAUGAUAGUACAUUUGGGUUGUAAGAAACAAUUUCUUAAAGCAAUUAUGACUUCUGAAUUUAAGAACCUUUGAAUCUUUUAAAAACUGGUACUAAUCUGGUUUACUUGGCCUCCAGCAACUUGGAGAUUUCCAAAGAAUAUAAAACUACAAUUUUUUCACUAAGAUAGUAAUACUGUGAAUCAUAAAUUGAACCUCCUAAUAAAGCUUCUUGAAGUGAUAAAGAAUUAUUUUUAGAAGCUGAUUUCACCAUUA